CCUACGGGCGGCAGCAGUGGGGAAUAUUGCACAAUGGGGGGAACCCUGAUGCAGCGACGCCGCGUGGGUGAAGGAGUAUUUCGGUAUGUAAAGCCCUAUCAGCAGGGAAGAACAAUGACGGUACCUUACUAAGAAGCACCGGCUAAAUACGUUCCAGCAGCCGCGGUAAUACGGAGGAUGCGAGCGUUAUCCGGAUUUAUUGGGUUUAAAGGGUGCGCAGGCGGCCUGUUAAGUCAGCGGUAACAGCCCGGUGCUCAACCCCGGCGAGCCGUUGAAACUGGCGGGCUGGAGUUGGAGAGAAGUACGCGGAAUGCGCGGUGUAGCGGGGAAAUGCUUAGAUAUCGCGCAGAACCCCGAUUGCGAAGGCAGCGUACCGGCUCCACACUGACGCUGAGGCACGAAAGCGUGGGUAUCGAACAGGAGUAGAUACCCUUGGAGUC
rnacentral:rRNA from 1 species